CCAGUCGGUCGGGCGGCCGCAUGUGCAAAUGCCGAAAGGCUGCAUGUGAGGAAAGUCCGGGCUCCAUGGAACAACGGUGCCGGGUAACGCCCGGCGGGGGUGACCCCAGGGACAGUGCCACAGAAAGCAAACCGCCCGCGGGCCUUCGGGCUGGCGGGCAAGGGUGAAAGGGUGGUGUAAGAGACCACCGCGUUGCCUGGUAACAGGCGCGGCAAGGUAAACCCCACCGGGAGCAAAACCGAGUAGGGACGGGACGAGGGAAACCCUCAAGGCGGUUCCAGCCUGCCCGUCCGGGUUGGUUGCUUCAGGCCGGCAGCAAUGCCGGCCGCAGAUGAAUGGCCGUCACGUCGCAGCUUCGGCUGUGGCCAUACAGAACCCGGCUUACAGACCGGCUGGCGCU
rnacentral:RNase_P_RNA from 1 species